UUGGAUGAUUAGCUUGUGUAUCUGAUCAAAAUCAGGAAGAAGAUGAGCGAGCACUGAAUUUUUCUUUCAUUAUUUUCCACUCUUAAACAUAGGUUUCGAUGUUCAUUCCGUGCUUAUUAUAGCUCCUUCCUGGAAUCCAAUGGUACCCAUUGGAAAGAGCGGAAAAAUGCUCGCAUUUGUGUACAGUUAGACCUGUGGUGAGAGAUUUACUUGAAGAAAAACCCCAACUGGAGGCAAACCACGACUGUAAGACGAGGGAACAACAACAAGUGAACCAGCCCGAGGACUGAGAGCAUCAACUGGAGAGAAACCAAUCUGACUCGGAGAUUCCGGUGAUUCAGUCAGGAGAAAGUCUGGUUAAAAUCGACAAGGAAUGUGUCUAUGGGAAUUCAAACACAACACACCAGUUGUGCUGUCUCUGUCUAGAUAUUUAAGGAGC